CAGGAAAUUUCCUUUUUGCCUGUGGUGCAGAGGAGCCUUGAACUGUCUCAGCAUGGAUCCGAGUGCAGAUGGAGCUGGUCUUGCAGCUGUGCUCCAGAAACUUCCAGUGGCUCUGUUCUCCUGGGCAUGUCCUCCACAAGGUGCCACCAUGGAAGGAUACAGUUUAUGAAAUCCACUGUUUAGGAAACACAACAAUGUGGAGUUACUCCACAUGUGAGCCACAGCAGCAGCUACAUCAAUCAAGACCCUUAUUCCUGGGUUAUUUGUACUCCUCAGUGUUUAAAAGGAACUGGCCUCCGUGAUUCUCAACACCCCGAGCACAAACAAAGCUGUAAUAACUCAAAACUUAAUGAAAGCAAACUCUGUAUAAUACACACAGACCCUGAAACUCUCAGGGUCUUUCAAGAGAAAAUCUUAGUUCAGCCAAAACACGCAGACAAAAGAAGAGGUUUAAAUCCCUUCCAGACGCGGAGGCAUGAGACACAAGGAUAUGUUCUGUUUAUUUAACAAGCCAGAGCUGGAGCAAGAGCCCUCACAAUACAAUUGCAGUGGUAACAAUAAAAAUGCAGCAAACCAAGAGCUGCAGCCCCAGAAAGACGAAGCCAGCGGCAGGAUUAUGGAACCUGCACACCCAGACGUUUUAAUACCUGUGCCAGACAUAGAGCUGUGUGAUAAUACGAACACAAUAAAACAUGAGGAAUCUAAAUCCAAGGAGCAGAUGGAAAGGCACAGCUUCUCUGGUGGAGCUACUUUUCAUUGGAGGCUCAGCUCCCAGCUUUGUGUGGAGCAGCCGCCCAUUCCAAGUCACCCUCAGUUCAUCCUCCACAGCAGCUUGGACGUGCUGCUCCUUCCUGUUCCAUAUGUGAGGAAACCCAGGAUUAGAUUGUUCUGCUGUGGAAAAGACAGAGUAUUCCUUGGAUGAUGUCAGGAUUGACCCUGCGAUGGCAACAUCCACAGGCAGCAUGGCAAACGCAUCAGGAAGGGCUGACAGAAACAUGCGUGCAGGAUGAGUACAUGGAGCCAUUGCCCAAAAAUAUCUCUGAGACCAGCCAAGGGCCUGGCACAACAGAAGCUCUGCUGCUGUGAUACAGGAUUUUACCCUUUUUUUACCUUGUCUCAGAGCCAAAUUCAGGACUGGAAAUGCAAAGCAACAAACAAGGCGGGACCAGGGGAAGUUUAGACCUAAUGGGCAGCUGAGAGAAAUUAGAAUAAUGGUCCUGGUUGCUCCUGAAAGAUACACAGCAGGUUUUUUUUCCCCAGAAAUGUGGGUCAUAGAGAAUCAUGGAUCAGCCUGUGCAGAGAACUGUCAUUUCAGAACUCCACUGUGUUUGGUAGCCAGGCUCUGCCUGAAGAACACGGGUCUGAUGGAGCACUGGUGCUUCAGAUGUUGCAGUUUGCUUCGUAGAAGAAUGCAAGGAGGGCGUUUUUUACUGAGUCAGAUAGAUUAACUCCAGAACAGCAACUGGCUUUUAGAGCACUCUCAUAAGUGUUUGAAAUACAUAGUUUUAUGCAGCAUACAAAAAAAAUCCCCCCCACCACCAAAAAAAACCCCAAAACAAAACAAAAAAAAACAACCCCAAACCCAAAACCCAGAAAUGCAAUGGGUUUGUGAUAAAAAUAUUGCUUCUGGACAUGGUUUCCUUGACAAUAGUUCAAAUUUAAGGGCAUUUUUAACACUGUUGAUGCAGAGACUUGCUUUAAAUGGCCCAUUCUGGAGCUGGUCACCUUAGAGCAAGAAGCAGCAAGAAAGACUAAUCAUUUUUUUUAGUUCAGAGAGCAAGAAGAAACCAGCAGCAAUGUGAGCUGGUCUUCUCAAUGCCAUCCCUGCUGAAGUCUGAGGAUCUGAAGGCUGAAGUCAGGAGGAUCUUGAUUUGCCUCCAGCCCAUGAGGAGUCCAAGGAAGGACUGGAUGUGGCACUCAGUGCUUUAGCCUGGGGUGGCAAGGUGGGGAUUGGUCACAGUCUGACUUUUAAAAGCUUGAUUCCACAUUCAUCAUUAAUUAAUAAUACACAUCUGCACCAUGUGAAAUUGUACGGGGAGAAGAUUCAGCCUCCCACCCCUCCGCAAUUGUUUAUUUUUAUUUUUUACUCUCUCUUCAAUUAUUGUGUUCACUUACCACUGGAGAUGGCUCCUGCAGAACCAACAGGGCACAUAGUCAAGUGAAGCUCACACACAAGUUUGUGUUUGGGGUUUGCUUUAAUCACAAGGGAGAAUUUCCUCUUUUCUGCUGGUCAGCACCAGACCCAAGGAAGGUCUAAACUCCAUGAACCCUAGAGAUCAAAAGAGCACUUUCAAGAGGAAGAACAGCGGAUAACUGUAAAGGAAGUUACAGCUGUUUGCUAUUUAAUGAAGUUAAAUGCACAUGUAAAUGUUUAUAGACUCCAGCCUGAACUCAAUUUUUUUUUUGGAAGCAAGACUUUUGCAACAUAAUUAUAUGCCCCACAAUGUUUUCCUGGUGGAUUGUGAGUUAUGUAUAAUUCCUUAUGAAAAUCUAUAAAUGGGUCAUGGAUCUGAAGCAGCUGAGACACCCCAUCAUUACCUGCCUCAUUCACAUGAGCACUGCUGUUAUUUAUUCCUGUUAAUUAUUAUUACUGUUAUUAUAAAAUAACAUUUAUGCGAACCUUUCACACUUAACAUGAUUGAUUUGGGGUUUUAUCUUAUAUUUUUCUUCCAAUCACAGUCAGAUACUGUUUGAAAACAACAACAGCAAAGAAUCCAGUCACAUUUCUGGGUAGAGUCCAAGCACUCCUUAAGGAUUGAAUGAAUGACUUCCUUAAACCAGGAAAACUUUCAGUGUCUCAUGCAGAAAAUAUUAUGUGAGCAAAAGCUCAGGUCAACUGCUACCUGCUGAGUCUGAAAUUGUUAUCAGUUGAUUGUUUUAUUCUUUCACAUGGGUGUGAAAGCAACACACACAAUUUUUUAAAAGAGGUUGAAAUGGUCUUUGUAGCCAGGUAAGUGUGAAAAUCUAAAGUGAUUCACAAACCACACAGAAACCUGUUUUAAUUUGGUUACAUUCAGGGAAAAUAUUUUAGCAACAUGGGAUUUUUUCCUUCCUGCAGUCUCUGAACUCUGUGCUCAGCCUAGUGAACCAACUCCAUGUGCACUGAACCUAAGUUGUUUUGCAAAGAGACCUCCAAGAAACCCCCACCAGCUCUCCUGCACUGCUGCUCGAUGGCUUUCCUGCAGGCAUGCAGCUAGGAAGAAAAUUUCCAUAAUAGCUGUGAGAUUAGAGACAUUGUAUGCUUGAGGAGCCAGAGUGCCUAGCAGGCAGCACCAAGAUGAAUGAGCUCAGGCUACCUCUGGAGUAAUGUGGUGAUGAAAUCCCUCAUCUGGUCUGUGCCUCUCAGCCACCCAGAGAUAAAUUGCUCCUCACCCAGCUACCCCAGAAGAACUGGCAUUCAGGAUGUGCUCAUGACUCACAGAACCACAGGCUGGAAAAGACCUUCAAGAUCAUCAGGUCCAAGCCUAGACUGGACACCACCAUGUCACUAAACAUGUCACAAAGUGCCACUCUGAACACUUCCAGGGAUGGUGACUCAAGCAUUGCCCUGGGCAGCCUGUUUUCAGUGAUUAAUCACUCCUUCAGUCAGUAAAUAUUUCCUAAUAUCAAAUCCACUUCAUUUCAUAUUACAAAAUAUAUUACAAAAUUAUUAAAUACAUAAUAAAACUUCCUUUGUAUUAAAACCAGCACAGAAAUCACAGACUGCUGUCAACCAAUGACUAAUUUUUAUUAUCCUCAGUGCUGCUGUUGUAAACUUCAGCUCAAUGGGUGAGGUUUUUGCAGGGCUAGAUUUCCCCUAACCAGGAAUCCUUGAGGCAGGGGGGAAUAUCCACCCAAAGUGAGCACAGAGCAGGGGUGAGCUCCCAGCUCAGUUUAUCCACAGCUGAUCACUGGAUCUCAACUGAUGCCUUUUUCUCUGGCCCUAAAGAUACAAGUCAGACACAGUUAGGGUGAUAAAAAGGGUACUUUUAUAUGAGGUGCACAAAUUUGUCAGGUAGAAAAGGGCCAGGAUGCACACCCCAUGUGACUGACAUGUAAAUUUUUAUAGAUUCUGCAAAUUAACUUAUCUGACAAGAACCCCCCAAUUAGAAACUCUCCUGGUGAAGAAAUUCCCCCAGUUCUAGCACCUUCUAUAAUCUCCCCCCUCUGGAUGAGAUCCAGGCCCUGUUUACAAUUGUCUACAUUGGAAAGCUGGUUUCAGCCUGGUUUCUAAGGUGAACCAUAGCAGGACAGGGAUGUUGGAAUUUGUUUUGUUUUUCUGCCUGGGAAAGUGUUGAAGCUAGGCUACAGAAUGAAGCUGCAAAGCUACAAGUGUAUAUGUAAAGAAUAAAGAGAAUAUAUAAAAGAAAAAGAGAGUAAAACCCAAAAGAGCAUCACAACCAUUCAUGUGGAAAAGCCUGGAGGCACAAAAAACAAGGAGAAGGAGACAUCCCUGACUUGGAAUCAUCCCGAGCCCGUUUGGGGUGUGCUGACAGGCAGUAGCUGGGAGGGAAGCUGUGGUUAUUGGUAUGUUAACAGGUCUCUGUAAAUCCAUCAUAUUCUGGGGGUCCUUAUGUGACGUGUGGGAAUUGAUAUAGGUGGGAAACAGGAAGUACACACCAACAAUAAAACGGCAUUUUAAUCAGAAACAUACUUGGUGAGAGCAAGGGGUGAUUUCAGCCUGAAGAACUGCAUACAACCCCAAGCUAGGCUUUUUGAAAUGAGCCACAGCAAGCUUUAAAGAUCAGACCAAGAAAACAUCCCACCAUGUGAAGAUAAAAUCCCUCUUACAGGGUUAACCACAGUAAAUCUAAACCAAAUCCUUAUUGUUCCAAAUGAUGCUUGCAACCUGAUUGAAUAAAACACAACUGUGUUGCUAAUAAUUUAAUUUAAUUCACUUACUACUGCAUUAUUAAAACUUCUUUUGUACAAGGCACUUGAAAAGCUCCAUAGUCAAGAAUGGCUUUUGGGAAUAAAUCAUUAGCUGUUAAAUGUAGUGACAAGUAUUUUUUGAGCUGAUUUCAUAGCUGUCAUUAGCACAAAAAUUCUGCUUAGAUUUGAGUUGUUAUUAACAGAAUCACAUUUUAAAAUGCCACAUUUAAAUGAGCAUUUUGUGAAUCCCAGUUAGUGCCAGAUUGCAGCCUCAGGGAGUUGCUUGUCAUGGAAGUCCUUCAAUGUUUUUAAUUUCCACACUCCUUUAAUAUUUUCCACAUUUUAAUAGACACAGGUACUAUUAAGUUUGGGGCAAUGUAGCAACUGACUUAUAUACUUUGCUGAUAAAAGUUCAUUAUUUUACCCAAUAUCACAUGACCAUAAAAAAACAGAAAAGGCAAAAGCAAAGAGUCAGGAAGGAAGAGACAUAGAGAAGGAACAGAAGUGAUGAUUUAUGGUAUAAUGAGGAAUGAGGCUGGCAAAGAAACUAUAUUGGAAUAUUAAUCUAUACAGGUCUUCUCCUGACUAUAACUUUUGUAAAGAGCUGCUAUGGAAACAGAAGGCUGAGGUUCCCAUGAUCUAGAUGAAUUGAUCACUAAAUGAAACAAAAUAUUGUUAGGUUUCAUGAUCCUGUAAUCACAACAACAGCCAUGCUAAUGAGUCACACUGAAGGCCCCAGAAUCUGCAGAAUUUAGUAAAAAAAAUGGAUGUCACUGAAGAGUGGGGUUUUCAGGAUCCAUUUAUCCAUCAGUCAUCACGUGGAGCCAGUUGAUAACACUGUGGAUGUUUAUCUGUCAUAUCCAGUAUCCAGACACACAGAGAGGUUAAGCUACUCUUCAGGGAACACCAUAAAAGUAUAUUGUCCUGACCAAAAAAAAAAAGGAAAUUAAAAACACGCACACAAUGCCACAUUUCUUGUCCUGAGUCAGCUGCACACAGAAUUCUGUAAGACCACAGGUUUAUGUAACUGUGCUUGAAGUCAUGGUUCUGAAACACUGCAGAAUUUAAAGUGGAAGUUUGAAAAGUACAAACUGGCUCCCUGAAUCUUCCCACUGCCUGCUGGAAUUCCUGAGGGAAACCCAUACUCUUCCAGACUGCUCCAGCUGUUUGAAUAGACAAAAGAGAAAAGCAGAAGCACAGCUGGCAUGGCACAUCCUCCUUUUAAAUGACAAGUGAUAUCUUCACAUGAUUUGGGAUCAUGAACUGAUUGUGCACCCACAAAGCAUCUGGGUCAAAAGCUGUUAGCUGCUGUUCCAGUGCCCAUAGGAACAGUUACAGGCCCCAAAAUAACCAAAUUCCUGAUUUUCUGAAGCCUUAUGAGUUGUCUUUUCCCCUCAUGUCAAGACAAUCACACUCUCCCAGGUUGUUUUUUCACAUUCACAGUGACAAAAGACUGAGGAGUCAGUGUCUUCUUUCAAUUUAAAAAAUGGUCAUUUUAAUCAAAAUGGUGUCUUCUCAACAUCCCGUGCUGAUUUUAAUGCUCAUCUCUUCCCACUUGCCUCUCAUUAUAACCACAGACUGCUUCAGUUUGGAAAGGACCCCUAAGGAUCACUGAAUCCAUCUCCCUGCUCCUCUCAGGACUACCCAAAACUAAACCACAAGGCUCAGAGUGUCAUCCAGAUGCUCCUUGGAUUCCCCCAUCCUUGGUGCCAUGACUUUCCUGGGAAGCCUGGAAAUAGGGAGCUCUCUGGAGCUCCCCAUGGGCAUGGAAUAUCACUGAAGAUAGAACUGAGAGGACCACUGCAAAAAUAGCAGAUAGAUUUUCCAACCAGUUAUGCAGGCAGAACAGAUAUUAAAAAAUAGCUCUGUGGAGUUCUUUAAAACAACUUAAAAUCCUUCUGAUACCUCAGUGUCCACACUUUUUGGAUGCCAGACUCUGUGAUUAUCUGUUAUGAACUGGAAGGCAGAAGUGAUGAGAACUUGUAAGGAGAAAGAAUUAUCCUUCUUGGUAGGAUUAAUUUUUAAGCCUUUAUGUUUCUACAUUUGGCAUUUGCUCAUGUUGCCUUGUGGCUUUUAGGUACUCCAAGUAAGUAGGUCUGGAGAUUUACGUUAUUCAGGAGAGGGAGCCAAGAAAAUGUUGGUGCUGUAAGGAGAGGUAACAGAAGUGUAUUUUUUUUUCUUUGAAUUUGCUUUGAACAAUAAAAUCGACUUGUAGGAAGGGAUAUGCAUUAUUGAAAGUUUAAUCUUUCACAUGGUAGAUAAAUCUGAGGCAUUAACCACAUAUGGUUAUCAAAUAACUCGUGUGACUUUGUACAGGAGCCUCAGUAUUAAACUGCCCUGGGUCUAUUGUGCCUGAGGAGGAGGGGAAAAAAUAAAAAUCCUAAAUGUUUGACCUUUCAGCUUCUUGUGUGAAAGAGCAUUUGAAGGAUUCCUGACAAGGGCCACAGCCUGUGGCUAUGGCAGCACAGGGAGAUGCCCCUGGAUCUGAGCACAGUGUCCAACCACAUCCUUUAUCCACCAAAGGUGGAGUGUGCCUGGAUUAUCACAUUCUUUACUGGGAUUUCAAGUGAAAACCUCUCCUUUGUGGUGCUUAAGGAAUCUGGCACAUCUGGCAGGGCGGGAUGGCCUCUGGUGUGGGAAGGGCUGUGGGGUGGACGCCAUGUUCACAUCUCAACCCUAUAGCAACAUUUUGAGUGUCAGGCAACGCGCUGGGGAUCCUUUCACAAGCACAGCUGGAGGACAACGAAGAAUUAAAAAUAAAACAGCUUUGAAAACGCGAGGCAAAUCUGAGCAGAGUGGCCUGGAACCUUAGGCCCAUGAGAAAGUGUUCACUGAGGGCUCCUGGGUCCCUCUCCAGCGAUG